rnacentral:rRNA from 1 species
GACGAACGCUGGCGGCGUGCUUAACACAUGCCAGUCGUACGGUAAGGCCCUUUCGGGGGUACACGAGUGGCGAACGGGUGAGUAACACGUGAGUAACCUGCCCACAACUUUGGGAUAACGCUAGGAAACUGGUGCUAAUACUGGAUAUGUGCUCCUGCUGCAUGGUGGGGGUUGGAAAGCUCCGGCGGUUGUGGAUGGACUCGCGGCCUAUCAGCUUGUUGGUGGGGUAGUGGCCUACCAAGGCGGCGACGGGUAGCCGGCCUGAGAGGGUGACCGGCCACAUUGGGACUGAGAUACGGCCCAGACUCCUACGGGAGGCAGCAGUGGGGAAUAUUGCACAAGGGGCGCAAGCCUGAUGCAGCAACGCCGCGUGCGGGAGGACGGCCUUCGGGUUGUAAACCGCUUUCAGCAGGGACGAAGCUUUUUGUGACGGUACCUGCAGAAGAAGCACCGGCUAACUACGUG